AUUGAACGCUGGCGGCAUGCUUUACACAUGCAAGUCGAACGGUAACAGGCCGCAAGGUGCUGACGAGUGGCGAACGGGUGAGUAAUGCAUCGGAACGUGCACAGUCGUGGGGGAUAACUACUCGAAAAGUAGCUAAUACCGCAUACGAUCUAUGGAUGAAAGCGGGGGACCGUAAGGCCUCGCGCGAUUGGAGCGGCCGACGUCAGAUUAGGUAGUUGGUGGGGUAAAGGCUCACCAAGCCAACGAUCUGUAGCUGGUCUGAGAGGACGACCAGCCACACUGGGACUGAGACACGGCCCAGACUCCUACGGGAGGCAGCAGUGGGGAAUUUUGGACAAUGGGCGCAAGCCUGAUCCAGCAAUGCCGCGUGCAGGAAGAAGGCCUUCGGGUUGUAAACUGCUUUUGUACGGAACGAAACGGCUCUGGUUAAUACCCGGGGCUAAUGACGGUACCGUAAGAAUAAGCACCGGCUAACUACGUG
rnacentral:rRNA from 1 species